GAGCCCCUGACUCAAUGAGGCCUCCCCAAAGGCCUCUCUAAAUAGUUCCUUCCCGCCCAGAGGCCGCCCAGCACUACGUCCAACUCUCACAACCUUCCCAGCGCGUCGGCCCCCUGCACCAAGGCCUUGUGUCCAGGAAGCUGCCCACCGGCCCUCCAGGAGGACCCAGGUGUGAAUUGCCCCAGGCCCCCAGCUGAGGACGUCCAGACCCCACAAGGCCUUCAACCAGAGCCUGUCCAUGCCCUGACGGACACCAUGAAGCCCCCGGGGCUGCUCUCGCUGGGCCUGGCAAGGAAGUUCCCACACUGACCCCUGGAGAGGAACAGCUGCUCCGCCUCCACCCCGCGGACCUCGGGGUGGAGCCACCCGGAGUGGGGAGAGCAGGAUCUCGGACUUCCAGCCUCCAGAGCUGAGGGAAGGAGCUGCCUGCCUGCCCAGCUUAUGGUCACUGUUUCAGCAACCCAGCUGCCUGACGACAGGUUCUCAUCUCCCGGAGGACAGAAGCUGUUCCCCGCACUGCAGCGUCCCAGGACUCCAGAGCCUAGGACUACAUUGUACUCGGGUGGCAGCCCCAGAGGCCAGAAUGUCAGCAAAAAAGAGUGAGUGACUGAGG